rnacentral:rRNA from 1 species
AAAUUGAAGAGUUUGAUCAUGGCUCAGAUUGAACGCUGGCGGCAGGUCUAACACAUGCAAGUCGAACGGUAACAGGAAACAGCUUGCUGUUUCGCUGACGAGUGGCGGACGGGUGAGUAAUGUCUGGGAAACUGCCUGAUGGAGGGGGAUAACUACUGGAAACGGUAGCUAAUACCGCAUAACGUCGCAAGACCAAAGAGGGGGACCCUCGGGCCUCUUGCCAUCGGAUGUGCCCAGAUGGGAUUAGCUUGUUGGUGGGGUAACGGCUCACC